rnacentral:rRNA from 1 species
GACGAACGCUGGCGGCGUGCCUAAUACAUGCAAGUCGAGCGGACCACUUCGGUGGUCAGCGGCGGACGGGUGAGUAACACGUGGGCAACCUGCCUGUAAGACUGGGAUAACACCGGGAAACCGGUGCUAAUACCGGAUAAUCCUUUCCUUCACAUGAAGGGAAUCUGAAAGACGGUUUCGGCUGUCACUUACAGAUGGGCCCGCGGCGCAUUAGCUAGUUGGUGAGGUAACGGCUCACCAAGGCAACGAUGCGUAGCCGACCUGAGAGGGUGGUCGGCCACACUGGGACUGUGACACGGCCCAGAGUCCUACGGGAGGCAGCAGUAGGGAAUCUUCCGCAAUGGACGAAAGUCUGACGGGGCAACGCCGCGUGAGCGAUGAAGGCCUUCGGGUCGUAAAGCUCUGUUGUCAGGGAAGAACAAGUACCGGAGUAACUGCCGGUACCUUGACGGUACCUGACCAGAAAGCCAUGGCUAACUACGUGCCAGCCGCCGCCGUAAAAC